UUUUCAAUAUCUCUAUAGAUAUAGACUUUUUUUUUUGUGGUAUAGCCCACGUGGGGCCCACUGAGGUGUGUGAAAGGGUGGAUUUGCAUUGUUUUCUAUGGUAUGGCCCACGUGGGGCCCAUUGAGGUGCGUGAAGGGGUGGAUUUGCAUUGUUUUCUAUGGUGGGCCCAUUGUCGUGUGUGUAUGUGUGCAUUGUUUUUUAUUGUGCUAUUUAAUAUUUAUCAUAUAUAUAUAUAUAU